CUUCUCCUCUGGACAGGUUUUGAUAAAUUUCCCCCCAAGUCCUGCAGGAUCAUGUGGGAAGGAGUUUCUGUACUUUUUCCACAGCAGGAACACAAUUUCCAUUAGCAGAAGUUCUGCAGGACCAGUCCUUAAGUGGAAAUCUCACUGCCCGGUCUGACCACAGAUGUGAUGAUUGGAACUGACAGCGGGCAUCAUAGGGUAAAUGGAUGCACAGUAGAUUUGAAUGGGGCCACAAGAACAUGUCUGUAGAGAAGCUUCAUACAUUGGAAGCACCAUGGGAAACCAUAGAAUGCAUCACAAAGAUGACGGCAGUUUUUCCGCUCCUGGAGGAGAUAAUGGUCACAACUGGAGGCUGCAACAAGCGAAGAAAGCAGAAUUUAUCCGAGAAGCUGAAAAACUCAGACAACAAAUAGCCCUUCUGGAGAAAGACAAGAGUGCACAUCUUUAUAACAAGAAGAAUGACUUCAGGAUUGAGUACAGUAUGCUUGAAGAAUAUGAACAAAAGCUGACAAACAGCAGGAAAGCAGGCAAAGUUAAAACAGAACAACAACUCUCCAGAAUCCACAACAAUGUCAGACGGCUGCAGCUCCAAUUAAAAGAUGUCAGACCUACUCCAGAGUUUGUUGAAAAGCUCAGAGAAAUGAUGGAAGAAGUUGACAAUGCAGUUACCGGUUUUAAAGAAGAACAGAGGAUAAUUUAUGAAGAACUUAUGAAAGAAGAAAAGACAACUGUUAUUGAGCUGAAUGCACUGGAGAAAAAAAUAGAAGCAUCAUUCAGCACUGUGUCAGAAAAGUCCCUCAAGGCUCCCUCCAGUAAAGCACAGUUAGACACUAUGGCUGACAGUCAGCUUCCAGAAGAUGUUGUGGCAUUUGAGAGGUUUCUGCAGCAGACAGGUGGACGUUUAGGAGGAUGGGAUGACUUUGACCAUCAGAGCUUUCUAAAAGUUUGGACAAAGCACAAAGGCAAGCCCUCUUAUCUGGAAGAGGCCCUGGCAUACCUUCCAAGCAGGACAAGAGAGGAUAUCCAACAACAUGAAACUUGGUAUAAUGAAUUUCUUUUCUUAGAAGAGAAAAAGAAAGAGUCGAUUCAAAAGUGGAAAGCUAGGAAACUGCAGGAAAAAAUGGAAAUGACAAAAGUGCAUGAAAAGACCAGAGACAUUUCAGAGUUUGAUCAACAGCAGCAGGAAGAGGCCCAUAGGCAAAAUAUGGAGGAGAGGAAGAAACGACAGCGGGAACUAGAGGCCUGGAAGAGGCAGAAAGAGAUUGAGGCAGCUGCAAAACUAGAGGCCAAAUUAAAGGAAGAAGAGGAGCACCAGAGAAAGCAGAGGAAGGAGCGCCAGCGGCAACUGGAGGUCAAACUGAUAGUCGAGGAGCAUGCAAGGAUCAAGAAGGAGCAAGAAGAGUUUCUAAGGCUGGAGAAAGAGAUAAGGGAGGAGGCAGAGAGAGAAGAGAGAAAAAGAAUGGCUUCUUAUGAGAUCUGCAGGUUUCAAGAAAGGGAUCAACAAAAACUUGAGGAAAAGAGCCAAGAAAAAAAAGUUAAAGAAGAAGCUGAAAAAGAACAGGAGAGAAGGUUGGCAAAAUUGAAAGAAAAGGUGCAAGUUCAUGUAGAACGAGAUCCUUCCAGACUCUGCAAGCUUACUAAAGGAUGGGAAGAGCGCUGUAAAAACAUAGGGCCAACAGGAUCCGCUCCACUUUUACAAAUUCCACACCGCGCUGUGCCGACAUGGAGGCAAGGUCUAUAAGCUGCUAACAUAUGAAGAUUAUUGGACCAAUGGUAUCCAUUAACUGUAGCUAAAGGACAUCGCAUUUUCAUUUAAAAGGGAUUCUGUCAGCAGUCUUGAGCCAUCAAAAUUGAUCAUAGCCCUAAACCCCCUAUACAGAGGUUGGUAGGGUAGUGUAAUGAUACCUGGUGUCUUGGUCAUGUAACUUGCAUGACCAAGAUAAACAUUGUUUAAGGAGCUAUUCGGGAUUUAAAAAAAUCGGUAAAGCUGAUUUCUUAAAAAAUAAAUAGACACAUAAAGAAAUUAAAAAAGGAAAAAAAAAAACAGCACCACACCUGUCCUCAGGUUGUGUGUGGUAUUGCAACUCAGCUCCAUUGAAGUAAAAGGGGGCCAGAUUGUAGUAUCACACACAACCUGAGGACAUGUGUGUUGCUGUUUUUAGAGCAAAUUAGCUCUGUUUUGUGAUUUCUGAAUAUGUCCUUUAAUAUUGCCACAGCAAAUGUCCAGAAGGCAGCCUCUUCUGGUUAUGUACAUGGAGCGCCCUGUACUAAAGGGGUUAUCCAGGAAUAGAAAAACAGGUUUACUUUCUUUUAAAUACCGCUCCCCAUUUGUCUCCAGGUGUGCUUGUUGGAUCCGUUGUUUGGUUGCCAGGAGCGGCUGCAGGGUCUCGCCUGUUCUACGAUCUUACGCUGUCACCAUAGUUGUAUGUGGACAGUACAACCACCGUUGGUGAGCACCAGUUGUUUAUGCCAUCAACGGUAUCGCACUACAGAGCGCUUGUCCUUUUAUUAUAGUUGUUGUCUCCAGGUUGGGGGUGGUUCUGCAGCUCCAUUCUAUUGAAGUGAAUGGUGCAAAGUUGUAAAACCACACCAAACCUGGAGACAGACAUGGAGCUGUUUUUGAAAAAAAUUAGCUGUGUUUUUCUAUUUCUGAAUAACCCCUUUAAGGUUAAAUUUCCACUUGGUUUUUUUUCUGGCAGUUUUUGGAGAUCUGCCACUGCAGUUUUUGAGCCAAAAUCAGAAGUGUUUUCAAAAGGAAUAGGACAUAUAAAGGAAGAACUUUGGCUCAAAAGCUGCAGAGGCAGAUAUCCAAAAACUGCCAGAAAAAAAUCCAAGUGGAAACUUAGCCUAAGUCUCCCCUGCCUCACCUCUCAGCUAUGAUUGACAGUUCUAGCAUCCAAUCAGGAGACCACUAGAGCUGUCAGUAAUGGAUGAACGGGCAGGUUGGAGAAGCUCUCAGUACAGUUCAGGGUACCUAUGGAGAGCCGGACUCUGGGCACAUACUAUUAAAGUAUGCUUUUGUCAGCCAUGCAAGUUACAUGACUCAGACACCAUGUAUCAUUUCACUCUCUUCCCCAACAUCUGGAUAGGGCCGACUGAAGUUUUCAUGGCUCAAAACUGCUGACACAGUACCUUUUUAACUUCAGUAGCUGUGGCUGCUUUGGGGAUCUUUGGCGCUUUCAUUAGGGAUUCCGGUGACUAUUGUAGCUGACAGCUUCUGAUAUUGAUGAUUGGAAGACAAGCCCUGACAGUCAGCUAUGGCGAGUAUAUUGUAGGCUAACUCUGAUAUUUUUAUUUGCACUGAAGACAUAUGUUUUAGCAUUCAAUUGUUCCGGAUUUAUCUAUGGCUUUUAUUGUAAGACAUAUACAUAUAUAUUUAUAUAUUUUUUAUGAGUGACCUCUUUUAAAUUAAACAAUACUUACAAAAGAACGUCUACUUGUGCCUUUAUGUAAGAAGAAAAUCUGACAAAUGUUUUAUACUCUGUGCUAGAAAACAUGAGAACUUGUAAUAAAUCUGCAUAUUUAUGGUUAGUUGGAAACUGAACUGUUUGCUGUUCACCUUCUGUUGAAUAUAUCCCACCUCUAGACAGGUGUCACUGCCUUGAAAUGAAGGACGCUACGGCUGAGU